GGAUGAAGACGAAGGAGAAGCCUUCCUGGAUUGGAGCGAUGAUGAUAAGGAGUUCGAUCCAAGCACUCUUCCGGAUCCCGAUAAGCACAGAGACUCCGGAGAUGAAGAGGAUUGUAAUAUGGAAGAUGAUAGUGACCCUGGAAAGGCACGGACAGUGCGGAAAAGAAACUACAGCAGCAGUGAAGGGGAAGAAGAGCUGCCCAAGGUCAAGCGACCUAAAAAGGCCAAGCAGAAGAAAGAAGCAUUUGAGCCACUGGAUACAGGCCUUUCUUUGGCAGAAGAUGAAGAGUUGGUGCUCCAUUUACUCAACAGUCACAGAUAAUUAUUUCUCUCCCCUUCCCUCUUAAGGUCGUUGUUGCUGUUAUGUUGACAAGUGAUACAAAAACAAUUUGUUUUAGGGCACAUUGGAUACCCUUCACGUUGAUAAAUGAGUUCUAGGCACGAAGGAUCCUUGUUUCUGAGCAGCGACCAGAAAUUAAAAUAGGUCUGUGCAUGCCCCCGUCUCAGAGUGGGCCCAAGGUGUGGGGGAUGUUCGAGGUCUCCGAGCCAGCUUUCCAGUAUAAUUCCCUCCCUGUCUUUUCCCCAUCUCCCUUCGUUUCCAAUGGAGGACUUCUGUCGGAACUUACCGGGAGAGGUGAAGAUCUUCGUCGGUCUUUCGUUUCUCAGUUCUUCCCCGUAAACCUCCCCGUAGCCCCGACGACUGUAAUAUCUGAAAAGACAAAGCGGCAGAGGAGUGCUGAGAAGGGGUGUUUUUGUAAGUGGCUGCUGAUGAGCGAUAAGAGUGUUUCUCACAAAAUAAAACGCAGAUUUGUUUUCA